rnacentral:snRNA from 1 species
GGCGAGAGCGGGUCGCCG